rnacentral:tRNA from 1 species
GGCGGGAUUCCCCUAGCCUGGCCAAGGGGCCGUGCUGGAACCACGGUGCCCGCACAGGGCACGGGCGUUCGAAUCGCCCUUCCGCCG